rnacentral:rRNA from 1 species
UUCAGAUUAGCCAUGCAUGUGUAAGUAUAAAUAAUUUUACUUUGAAACUGCGAAUGGCUCAUUAUAUCAGUUAUAGUUUAUUAGAAAUACUUUACUACUUGGAUAACCGUAGUAAUUCUAGGGCUAAUACAUGACUAAAUCCUCAACUUCGGAAGAGGUGUGUUUAUUAGUAUGAAAACCAUAUAUCUUCGGAUAUAAUAGUGAGUAAUAAUAACCUUUCGUAUCGUAUGUCGUAAGAUAACGAUAGUUCUUUCAAGUUUCUGCCCUAUCAGCUUUCGAUGGUAGUAUAUGGGACUACCAUGGCAGUAACGGGUAACGAAGAAUUUGGGUUCGAUUUCGGAGAGGGAGCCUGAGAGAUGGCUACCACAUCCAAGGAAGGCAGCAGGCGCGUAAAUUACCCAAUCCUGACAUAGGGAGGUAGUGACAAUAAAUCACAAUGCGGAACUAUUUAGUUUUGCAAUUGGAUUGAGAACAAUGUACAAAUGUUAUCGAUAAACAAUUGGAGGGCAAGUCUGGUGCCAGCAGCCGCGGUAAUUCCAGCUCCAAUAGCGUAUAUUAACGUUGUUGCAGUAAAAAAAGCUCAAA